rnacentral:rRNA from 1 species
UACGGAGGGGGCUAGCGUUGUUCGGAAUUAUUGGGCGUAAAGGGCGCGUAGGCGGCAGGAUAAGUCUGACGUGAAAUCCCUCGGCCUAACCGAGGAACUGCGUCUGAAACUGUCCAGCUCGAGUCCGGGAGAGGGUAGUGGAAUUCCCAGUGUAGCGGUGAAAUGCGUAGAUAUUGGGAGGAACACCGGUGGCGAAGGCGGCUACCUGGACCGGUACUGACGCUGAGGCGCGAAAGCCAGGGGAGCAAACAGG